AUUGAACGCUGGCGGCGUGCUUAACACAUGCAAGUCGUGCGGUAACAGGCGUAGCAAUACGUGCUGACGAGCGGCGAACGGGUGCGUAAUACAUGGGAAUCUGCCUUUUAGUGGGGAAUAACCCGGCGAAAGCCGGGCUAAUGCCGCAUAAGAUCUUCGGAUGAAAGCGGGGGAUCGUAAGACCUCGCGCUGAUAGAUGAGCCCAUGCCGGAUUAGCAGUUGGUGAGGUAACGGCUCACCAAGGCGACGAUCCGUAGCUGGUCUGAGAGGACGGCCAGCCACACUGGGACUGAGACACGGCCCAGACUCCUACGGGAGGCAGCAGUGGGGAAUAUUGGACAAUGGGGGAAACCCUGAUCCAGCGACGCCGCGUGUGUGAAGAAGGCCUGCGGGUUGUAAAGCAC
rnacentral:rRNA from 1 species